rnacentral:rRNA from 1 species
GACGAACGCUGGCGGCGUGCUUAACACAUGCAAGUCGAACGGAAAGGCCCUGCUUGCAGGGUGCUCGAGUGGCGAACGGGUGAGUAACACGUGGGUGAUCUGCCCCUUACUUUGGGAUAAGCCUGGGAAACUGGGUCUAAUACUGGAUAGGACCAUGCUGUAGGUGGUGUGGUGGAAAGAUUAGUUUCGGUAAGGGAUGAGCUCGCGGCCUAUCAGCUUGUUGGUGGGGUAAUGGCCUACCAAGGCGUCGACGGGUAGCCGGCCUGAGAGGGUGGACGGCCACAUUGGGACUGCGGUACGGCCCAGACUCCUACGGGAGGCAGCAGUGGGGAAUAUUGCACAAUGGGCGCAAGCCUGAUGCAGCGACGCCGCGUGGGGGAUGACGGCCUUCGGGUUGUAAACUCCUUUCAGCCAUGACGAAGCCCUUGUGGUGACGGUAGUGGUAGAAGAAGCACCGGCUAACUACGUG